UCCGAUAUGGUGUAGAGGUAACAUCGCUGUCUCUCACACAGCAGCCCCGGGUUCGAUUCCCGGUGUCGGAA
rnacentral:tRNA from 14 species